rnacentral:rRNA from 1 species
UACGAAGGGGGCUAGCGUUGCUCGGAAUUACUGGGCGUAAAGCGCACGUAGGCGGAUUGUUAAGUCGGGGGUGAAAUCCUGGAGCUCAACUCCAGAACUGCCUUCGAUACUGGCGAUCUUGAGUUCGGGAGAGGUGAGUGGAACUGCGAGUGUAGAGGUGAAAUUCGUAGAUAUUCGCAAGAACACCAGUGGCGAAGGCGGCCUGCUGGGCAGUUGCUGACACUGAGGCGCGACAGCGUGGGGAGCAAACAGGG